rnacentral:rRNA from 1 species
CCAGACUCCUACGGGAGGCAGCAGUGGGGAAUAUUGGGCAAUGGGCGCAAGCCUGACCCAGCAACGCCGCGCGAAGGAAGAAGGCUUUCGGGUUGUAAACUUCUUUUAAGAGGGAAGAGUAGAAGACGGUACCUCUUGAAUAAGCCACGGCUAACUACGUGCCAGCAGCCGCGGUAAUACGUAGGUGGCAAGCGUUGUCCGGAUUUACUGGGUGUAAAGGGCGUGUAGCCGGGCCGGCAAGUCAGAAGUGAAAUCUGGGGGCUUAACCCCCAAACUGCUUUUGAAACUGUGGGUCUUGAGUGAUGGAGAGGCAGGCGGAAUUCCCAGUGUAGCGGUGAAAUGCGUAGAUAUUGGGAGGAACACCAGUGGCGAAGGCGGCCUGCUGGACAUUAACUGACGCUGAGGCGCGAAAGCGUGGGGAGCAAACAGGAUUAGAUACCCGCGUAUC